UGAAGACUGUCUGAUGCGUCAUUACCGCAUGUCUUUCGAGCCAACAUUAUUUUUUAGGGAGCUGUCUCUGUCUAAAUCGUGGUUUAGUUAUAUGGCACCCACCUUAGUACAAGCGGUUCGGUUAGAAUGUUUCAGAAUACGGUCAGACGGUUGAUUU
rnacentral:other from 1 species